AGCGAACGCUGGCGGCAGGCUUAACACAUGCAAGUCGAACGGUAAGGCCCUUCGGGGUACACGAGUGGCGAACGGGUGAGUAACACGUGGGUGAUCUGCCCUGCACUUCGGGAUAAGCCUGGGAAACUGGGUCUAAUACCGGAUAGGACCACUGCCUGCAUGGGAGGUGGUGGAAAGCUUUUGCGGUGUGGGAUGGGCCCGCGGCCUAUCAGCUUGUUGGUGGGGUGAUGGCCUACCAAGGCGACGACGGGUAGCCGGCCUGAGAGGGUGACCGGCCACACUGGGACUGAGAUACGGCCCAGACUCCUACGGGAGGCAGCAGUGGGGAAUAUUGCACAAUGGGCGCAAGCCUGAUGCAGCGACGCCGCGUGAGGAAUGACGGCCUUCGGGUUGUAAACCUCUUUCAGCACCGACGAAGCGCAAGUGACGGUAGGUGCAGAAGAAGGACCGGCCAACUACGUGCCAGCCGCCGCCGUAA
rnacentral:rRNA from 1 species